AGAGUUUGAUCAUGGCUCAGAAUCAACGCUGGCGGCGUGCCUAACACAUGCAAGUCGAACGAGAAAGUGGAGCAAUCCAUGAGUACAGUGGCGUACGGGUGAGUAACACGUGACUAACCUACCCUCGAGUGGGGAAUAACUUCGGGAAACCGGAGCUAAUACCGGAUAAUCCUUUUCCUCACAUGAGGGAGAGUUGAAAG
rnacentral:rRNA from 1 species